rnacentral:rRNA from 1 species
AUUGAACGCUGGCGGCAUGCCUUACACAUGCAAGUCGAACGGCAGCACGGACUUCGGUCUGGUGGCGAGUGGCGAACGGGUGAGUAAUGUAUCGGAACGUACCUUUCAGUGGGGGGAUAACGUAGCGAAAGUUACGCUAAUACCGCAUAUUCUGUGAGCAGGAAAGCAGGGGGAUCGCAAGACCUUGCGCUGAUUGAGCGGCCGAUAUCAGAUUAGCUAGUUGGUGGGUAAAGGCCUACCAAGGCGACGAUCUGUAGCGGGUCUGAGAGGAUGAUCCGCCACACUGGAACUGAGACACGGUCCAGACUCCUACGGGAGGCAGCAGUGGGGAAUUUUGGACAAUGGGGGCAACCCUGAUCCAGCCAUGCCGCGUGAGUGAAGAAGGCC